GGGACUUACCCUUUAUCUGGUGAGGUGUGGUGUGGUGGGGACUUACCCUUUAUCUGGUGAGGUGUGGUGGGGACUUACCCUUUAUCUGGUGAGGUGUGGUGUGGUGGGGACUUACCCUUUAUCUGGUGAGGUGUGGUGUGGUGGGGACUUACCCUUUAUCUGGUGAGGUGUGGUGGGGACUUACCCUUUAUCUGGUGAGGUGUGGUGUGGUGGGGACUUACCCUUUAUCUGGUGAGGUGUGGUGUGGUGGGGACUUACCCUUUAUCUGGUGAGGUGUGGUGUGGUGGGGACUUACCCUUUAUCUGGUGAGGUGUGGUGUGGUGGGGACUUACCCUUUAUCUGGUGAGGUGUGGUGUGGUGGGGACUUACCCUUUAUCUGGUGAGGUGUGGUGUGGUGGGGACUUACCCUUUAUCUGGUGAGGUGUGGUGUGGUGGGGACUUACCCUUUAUCUGGUGAGGUGUGGUGUGGUGGGGACUUACCCUUUAUCUGGUGAGGUGUGGUGUGGUGGGGACUUACCCUUUAUCUGGUGAGGUGUGGUGUGGUGGGGACUUACCCUUUAUCUGGU